rnacentral:misc_RNA from 1 species
GUCAUGCUAAAGGAAAAAAAGUAAAUAAUUUAACAUUAGCAGGAGCUUCAGGAUUCACUAUCAGUUCACAAUCUUGAUUAAAGAUAUGAUCUUUGUUCCUUUUUCUUUACCGAAAGUAGUUGUGUCUUCUAAAGAAAAUUUCAAGGGUCCAGAACUUGCUCCAGGGGGCCACGAAAUUCCAUUUUAUAAUCUUGAAAAACUAAUUUCCUGUUAAAAGGAAUGGUCAAAAAAAUCGGCUAAGAGCAUAGUAUUUUUCAAGUGAUUUAUGCACCGCUGCAUCUGUUGAUCUGGAAAGUAAUGUUACCUUUUCGAUCGUACCAAUGAAAUUGAAGGUUGAACUUCAAGUCUCGAAUUUAUCUUUCAAGGCCUUUUUCUUGGCCCUGCGUUUACAUCCACCAUAAAUGCCACCAUAUUUGAUCUAGAAAGUAAUAUCUACAAGGUUCUGCACUUAUUCUCCUCAAAAUUUUUGUAGGCCAUGCAACUGAUGGACUAUUCACCAUAUAAUUAAUUCCCUUUGUUUCAAGCUUAAAAAAAUUGAUAUCCUAUCAGGUUCUAUU